UGGGGAAUAUUGGACAAUGGGCGAAAGCCUGAUCCAGCCAUGCCGCGUGUGUGAAGAAGGUCUUCGGAUUGUAAAGCACUUUAAGUUGGGAGGAAGGGUUGUAGAUUAAUACUCUGCAAUUUUGACGUUACCGACAGAAUAAGCACCGGCUAACUCUGUGCCAGCAGCCGCGGUAAUACAGAGGGUGCAAGCGUUAAUCGGAAUUACUGGGCGUAAAGCGCGCGUAGGUGGUUUGUUAAGUUGGAUGUGAAAUCCCCGGGCUCAACCUGGGAACUGCAUUCAAAACUGACUGACUAGAGUAUGGUAGAGGGUGGUGGAAUUUCCUGUGUAGCGGUGAAAUGCGUAGAUAUAGGAAGGAACACCAGUGGCGAAGGCGACCACCUGGACUGAUACUGACACUGAGGUGCGAAAGCGUGGGGAGCAAACAGGAUUAGAUACCCUAGUAGUCCCUGAGCGGGCUGGCAAGGCGCAU
rnacentral:rRNA from 1 species